AGAGAGAGAGAGAGAGAGAGAGAGGAGAAUUUGUUUGAGAGGAACAAGAGGGAAUCUCAAUAACAAAACAAGCACGAUUGGAUGGAAGAAGGGCGGGAUUGGAAAAGGUGUGCCAGGACGCGCGCUAAGGGGGAAGUUUUUCUAUUGUAAGCUCUCUUUUCUCUCCAGCCAUUGAGAUCACUUUGAUGGCUGAGAUGGGACCGUAAAUAGGGGUUCGCAAAAAAGGAGUUCCCACCUGAGCCUCGUGCGGGGAAGGAUUCAUCAACGACCUGUGCAUUUCCCAAAGUCCUACAUUGGGCUUUUAGACCAGACCAUAGGAAAUAUAAAUGCAAAUGCAAAUGCUGCAGAGCUCAGUGUCAUUGGGACUGUCAGCGUCUCCGGUUCGCGUCGUCAAGUGUUCUUUGGUCGGGCUCCGAGCACCACCGUCAACGAUCCCAAUUCAAUGGCAGCAGCUGGUCCCAAGUGGGCCCAGAAGACCAUAACUCUGCCUCCCCAGAGGAGGGGUUGUCAUCUCAUCACCCCUCAGAUAGUGAAGGAAAUUGGCCAGGAAUUGUCACAUUUCAACUGCGGCCUUGCACAUUUUGUUUUGAAUUUUUUAUUUUAUUUUAUAUUUUUAAAAUAUUCCAGUGCAGCACACUACUGCUUCUCUUACUAUCAAUGAGAAUGUUGACUCUGAUGUUCGUGAUGAUACAGAGACAUUCCUCAAUAGGAUAGUUCCUGAGGGGACAUCUGCACCAUGGAAGCAUACCCUUGAAGGCUCAGAUGACAUGCCGGGGCAUAUUAAAUCAUUAAUGUUUGGUUGCGCACUGACGGUUCCAAUUACAAAUGGAAAGCUUAACAUGGGACCUUGGCAGGGAAUAUGGUUGUGCGAGCAUCGUGACUAUCCUACUGGGCGGAAAGUUGUGGUCACCCUUAAUGGAAUAUGAGAAGCUUAGAUUUGGAAGUUUCCUGUUUCUUUCAUCCAGUGCAAAUGAAGUUGUACUCAAGCAUCUUCUAUGUUCAUGGGUGGGUGGGAUGUUAGUGUGCUAGCUAUUUUCUAUGUUAAUGGCAGCUUCCCUACCAGAAUCUGGUAAUACCUUGUUACUUGUAAUGGAUUUAAGUUUUGUUAUGCAAACCUGUAGAAAAUGUAAUGGAAUUAAGUUGUUACUUAUUAGCUAUUGCGACAAUAGCAGCUGCUUGCCAAUUACCAUGUAAGAAAUUUUGGAAAUUCCUGGGAGUUUAUACGUCGAAA